rnacentral:tRNA from 1 species
GAGAGAGAACUCGACAGUUAACGAAACCUGCUAAUUUUCGUGACCCAAGUUAGACCCCUGGGCUCACUCA